rnacentral:rRNA from 1 species
GGAGGGCGCUUACCACUUUGUGAUUCAUGACUGGGGUGAAGUCGUAACAAGGUAACCGUAGGGGAACCUGCGGUUGGAUCACCUCCUUACCUAAGAGA